GACGAACGCUGGCGGCGUGCUUAACACAUGCAAGUCGAACGAGUGGCGAACGGGUGAGUAACACGUGGGUGAUCUGCCUUGCACUUCGGGCUAAGCUUGGGAAACUGGGUCUAAUCCCGGAUAGUGCAAGAUGGGCUCGCGGCCUAUCAGCUUGUUGGUGGGGUAAUGGCUACCAAGGCGCGACGGGUAGCCGGCCUGAGAGCGUGUACGGCAACAAUGGGACUAAGAUACGGCCAGGAGUGCAACGGGGGGAAGAAGUAGAGAAUAUUGCACAAUGGGAGGAAGCAUGAUGCAGAGAAGUAGCGUGAGGGAGGAGGGCCUACGAGUUGUAAACUCCUUUCGACAGGGAAGCGGUACCUGUAUAAGAAGCACCGGCUAACUACGUGCCAGCAGCCGCGGUAAUAC
rnacentral:rRNA from 1 species